rnacentral:rRNA from 1 species
GAGUUUGAUCCUGGCUCAGGAUGAACGCUAGCUACAGGCUUAACACAUGCAAGUCGAGGGGCAGCAUGGUCUUAGCUUGCUAAGGCCGAUGGCGACCGGCGCACGGGUGAGUAACACGUAUCCAACCUGCCGUCUACUCUUGGACAGCCUUCUGAAAGGAAGAUUAAUACAAGAUGGCAUCAUGAGUCCGCAUGUUCACAUGAUUAAAGGUAUUCCGGUAGACGAUGGGGAUGCGUUCCAUUAGAUAGUAGGCGGGGUAACGGCCCACCUAGUCUUCGAUGGAUAGGGGUUCUGAGAGGAAGGUCCCCCACAUUGGAACUGAGACACGGUCCAAACUCCUACGGGAGGCAGCAGUGAGGAAUAUUGGUCAAUGGGCGAGAGCCUGAACCAGCCAAGUAGCGUGAAGGAUGACUGCCCUAUGGGUUGUAAACUUCUUUUAUAAAGGAAUAAAGUCGGGUAUGGAUACCCGUUUGCAUGUACUUUAUGAAUAAGGAUCGGCUAACUCCGUGCC